AUAAGUGUUAACACAAAAUCCUAUUUUAUAAUAAAUGUGAAUCUGAUGCUUCCCAUGGAAAUUACUCCUUGUCUUAUAUUCUUUUUUAUGUAAGCAUAUGUGGUUUACUGGCUCGUCAAUGUACCCCUUUCUUGCUUUUGAAGUGGAGUUACUAAAAGGGUUUGAUAGGACAAUUGUACAAAGUUAAAAGUAUUAACUUAAUAAGUGUUAACACAAAAUCCUAUUUUAUAAUAAAUGUGAAUCUGAUGCUUCCCAUGGAAAUUACUCCUUGUCUUAUAUUCUUUUUUAUGUAAGCAUAUGUGGUUUACUGGCUCGUCAAGAGAAGAAUAUAGUCAAAGAAAGGUAUAUGUUGAUUGUGAUUCUUAAGUGUUACUUGAGUCUAAUCUCAUUGUAACUUCUUCA
rnacentral:lncRNA from 1 species